GGGCGCCACUCACCUGGGGGACGCGGCCGCGGGCGGCGGGAGCCGGGAGCUCGGGCCCUGCCCGCCCCCUGGCCUGGAGUUUGAAAGGAGGAAGCCUGGAAUGUGCGGAAUGAGGGCUGGCUUACGGUCAUUCUCGUGGACUAUCUGAAAGUUCUUCACAGAUGCCUGAGUGACCCGGCCAUGGAAGUUCAGGACGUAGGACUGCGUGUCAUCGUUCCAGACUGGGGCCUUGUUGUGCAGUUCAAUCAAGUUCUCCAUGGUUUUGUUUUGCCAUUUGGAAAGCAAGCUCUCGUGGUCCUGUUUGAAGAGAAAAUCAUUGCUUUGUACUAAGAACCAUAGGAAAUCAUUCGCUCUCAACUCUGUGAGGUAGCAGGGGAUGUAGGGGAGUAUUUUCUCUGUUUCAGGAAGGGUACAACAGAAACAAAGAAAGCCAAAAGUUAAGGCAGAUUUUAAAAUUCUGAUGGAUUAUCUGGCAUUUCUCUUUGCAGACAAGCGGCUGCAAAUCAACCACUUUUGCAACUACUCUGCAACUUACCCUGCUGUUCUGCAGUGAUCACGCUCCUAAAUAAGGGCUUAAUUCACCUUCAUUUUUCUUGUAUACAAACUACGUGGUGACCACGGCAGGAGCUUGGGUCUUCUGCACAGAACCUCUGGUGUGGGUCUUUACAAGACGGUCAGUGAACUCCUGAGACGGGGCCUUGGUGAACACGGUCUCUUUGCAGAGGUCGGGAUGAGACAGCUGUAGGUCUUGGAGAUGGCAUCCCAAGUGGCCUUGGCGACAUUGCCCAGGGUGGCUAUGCAGCCCCCCGUGGAGGUACAGCAGCCCACACGGAGCCAGGGCCCCUGGGGCCGGGGAUGUGACACACCACCAGCACAGAGCUGCAGCGUCCGGUCACCUUACAAGGGACGGUGUGGAGCUUGCUGAUCUCGUUCUCCCAGAGGCCUUGCUGCACUGGGACUAGAAAACGUGGCCAGAAUGAUGGUCCCACGGAUGUCAGCGUCUACCACACUGGAGCAUUUAACACCGACCCAGGUGUCUGCUGGGAUCCCUGAUGGUAACACAUGCCUCGAACCUCGUCUGCCCACCAGCAUGGGUCUGCUUUUGCAAUGGCAUGAUCUUCAAAAACCUCAUCCUUGAAGGACGAUCCCAGGAAAACCUCAAUGACCUCAGAGUCCCUGAUGGGCAGGCGGACCAGGGACCUGAACUUCAUGUCCUUGCGCAGACAACUUAGGCUGGUGAGAGGCAUCCACUCCUCAUCCUUGCUCUUGCUGCCAUGAGCUCCUUGGCCUUGACGGCUGUGGAGGCCAUGCAGCCGUGUGGCCUCCCAUCCCAGGGCCUCCAGAGGCACCAGUCUCACCUGCCGUUUGGUGUUUUCUUGGAGAAGACCAAUCUUGGGGGCUUUAUCUCUUUUUCUAACCCUUAUAAUGCUUCUCAGAAUUCACUUUCAGGGAUUCCCUACUGUACAACUUUUCAAAAUUCACUUAGCUGGAUUCUCCAUAUACAACAGACACCCCUUAUCACUAAGACCCCCGGUGGAUGCCUACACCCCCGGUGGAUGCUCUACAAACUGUUUUUUACUGUACAUACAUAUGACAAAGUUUAAUUUAUACAUAAGGCAUAGCAAGAGACUAGCAACAAUAACAUGAUAAUUCUGACAAUAUACUAUAAUAAAAGUUAUAUGAAU